UACGAAGGGGGCUAGCGUUUUUCGGAAUCACUGGGCGUAAAGGGCGCGUAGGCGGCUUUAUAAGUCGGGGGUGAAAGCCUGUGGCUCAACCACAGAAUUGCCUUCGAUACUGUAGAGCUUGAGACCGGAAGAGGUAAGUGGAACUGCGAGUGUAGAGGUGAAAUUCGUAGAUAUUCGCAAGAACACCAGUGGCGAAGGCGGCUUACUGGUCCGGUUCUGACGCUGAGACGCGAAAGCGUGGGGAGCGAACAGG
rnacentral:rRNA from 1 species